rnacentral:rRNA from 1 species
GAUGAACGCUGGCGGCGUGCCUAAUACAUGCAAGUCGAGCGAACGGACGAGAAGCUUGCUCCUCUGACGUUAGCGGCGGACGGGUGAGUAACACGUGGAUAACCUACCUAUAAGACUGGGAUAACUUCGGGAAACCGGAGCUAAUACCGGAUAAUAUUUUGAACCGCAUGGUUCAAUAGUGAAAGACGGUUUUGCUGUCACUUAUAGAUGGAUCCGCGCCGCAUUAGCUAGUUGGUAAGGUAACGGCUUACCAAGGCAACGAUGCGUAGCCGACCUGAGAGGGUGAUCGGCCACACUGGAACUGAGACACGGUCCAGACUCCUACGGGAGGCAGCAGUAGGGAAUCUUCCGCAAUGGGCGAAAGCCUGACGGAGCAACGCCGCGUGAGUGAUGAAGGUCUUCGGAUCGUAAAACUCUGUUAUUAGGGAAGAACAUAUGUGUAAGUAACUGUGCACGUCUUGACGGUACCUAAUCAGAAAGCCACGGCUAACUACGUG